GACGAACGCUGGCGGCGUGCUUAACACAUGCAAGUCGAACGCUGAAGGCCCAGCUUGCUGGGUUGGAUGAGUGGCGAACGGGUGAGUAACACGUGAGUAACCUGCCCCCUUCUUUGGGAUAACGGUCGGAAACGGCUGCUAAUACCGGGUAUUCACUGUCCUUCGCAUGGGGGGUGGUGGAAAGGUUUUUUCUGGUGGGGGAUGGGCUCGCGGCCUAUCAGCUUGUUGGUGGGGUGAUGGCUUACCAAGGCUUUGACGGGUAACCGGCCUGAGAGGGUGACCGGUCACAUUGGGACUGAGAUACGGCCCAGACUCCUACGGGAGGNNGCAGUGGGGAAUAUUGCACAAUGGGCGAAAGCCUGAUGCAGCGACGCCGCGUGAGGGAUGGAGGCCUUCGGGUUGUAAACCUCUUUCGCUCAUGGUCAAGCCGCAACUUUGGGUUGUGGUGAGGGUAGUGGGUAAAGAAGCACCGGCUAACUACGUGCCAGCAGCCGCGGUAAUACGUAGGGUGCGAGCGUUGUCCGGAAUUAUUGGGCGUAAAGGGCUUGUAGGCGGUUUGUCGCGUCUGCCGUGAAAUCCUCUGGCUUAACUGGGGGCGUGCGGUGGGUACGGGCAGGCUUGAGUGCGGUAGGGGAGACUGGAACUCCUGGUGUAGCGGUGGAAUGCGCAGAUAUCAGGAAGAACACCGGUGGCGAAGGCGGGUCUCUGGGCCGUUACUGACGCUGAGGAGCGAAAGCGUGGGGAGCGAACAGG
rnacentral:rRNA from 1 species